GGGCCACUAGCUCAGUAGGUAGAGCAACGCCCUUUUAAGGCGUGGGUCACGUGUUCGAAUCACGUGUGGCUCACAA
rnacentral:tRNA from 1 species